CACAAUAAUGGCCACGAUUCUAUCCCACUUCCUACGAUGGAUACCACGCGGUUCCUCCACCCUCUGGCAAGUCACGACAACGGAUGUAGCUCCACUCCCCGCAACAAACUCCACGUGGCAUGUCCCGGUGACGGCCACGAUCCCACUCCACUAUUCUUCGCAACAAACUCCUCCUGACCCUGGGCAGCCCACUGCCAGAC
rnacentral:lncRNA from 1 species